rnacentral:rRNA from 1 species
UGAGGAAUUUUGCGCAAUGGGAGCAAUCCUGACGCAGCAACGCCGCGUGGGUGAUGAAGGCCUUCGGGUCGUAAAGCCCUGUCAGGUGGGAAGAAUGUCCCGGGACUGAACAGGUUCCGGGAGUGACGGUACCACCAGAGGAAGCCCCGGCUAACUCCGUGCCAGCAGCCGCGGUAAUACGGAGGGUGCAGGCGUUAUUCGGAAUUACUGGGCGUAAAGCGCGUGGAGGCGGUCCUGCAAGUCGGAUGUGAAAGCCCCGGGCUUAACCCGGGAAGUGCAUUGGAAACUGU